rnacentral:rRNA from 1 species
GACGAACGCUGGCGGCGUGCCUAAUACAUGCAAGUAGAACGCACAGUUUAUACCGUAGCUUGCUACACCAUAAACUGUGAGUUGCGAACGGGUGAGUAACGCGUAGGUAACCUGCCUGGUAGCGGGGGAUAACUAUUGGAAACGAUAGCUAAUACCGCAUAAUAUUAAUUAUUGCAUGAUAAUUGAUUGAAAGAUGCAAUUGCAUCACUACCAGAUGGACCUGCGUUGUAUUAGCUAGUAGGUGAGGUAACGGCUCACCUAGGCGACGAUACAUAGCCGACCUGAGAGGGUGAUCGGCCACACUGGGACUGAGACACGGCCCAGACUCCUACGGGAGGCAGCAGUAGGGAAUCUUCGGCAAAGGACGAAAGUCUGACCGAGCAACGCCGCGUGAGUGAAGAAGGUUUUCGGAUCGUAAAGCUCUGUUGUAAGAGAAGAACGGGUGUGAGAGUGGAAAGUUCACACUGUGACGGUAUCUUACCAGAAAGGGACGGCUAACUACGU